GCUGUGAUGGCCGAGUGGUUAAGGUGUUGGACUUGAACUACAAUAGGGGUCCCCUGCGCAGGUUUGAAUCCUGCUCACAGCG